ACCCUCCUGCCUCCAGCAAUCCCUGAACACAUCUGAUCUCUGCCACCAGGAGCACAGGUCUCACAAACAGCCUACGGCUUUCAUGACUGCAAGCUGCUCCUCGGUGAGGAGAGGCAGCUCGUUGUGCCAGCCCAGGGUGAGCUUACACCUCAUUAGAAACCAGAGAAACCACAUGGGAGGUGAUCUCACAAAUGCUCCAGCUGUGGGAAAAGAUUCAACUGUGGCUUCUCCAUCAACAUGAGAUGCAAAUCCCAGGGACCUGAGCUUCACUUUCAUUCAGGCUCCUGGAGAGGUGGCCUUUAUUUGCAUUGAAGAAGAGGAAAUGGAAGGACUCAGAAGACUGGUGGCCAGAAGAGGAGCAGGAAGACCCUGCAUGUCCAGUAGACCAGAGACCCUACAAGUCUAAGGCACAGAGACCUGAUAAGUCCAAAGAGACUGGCAGCCAUUCUUACUAAUUUCUUGCUGAAAUGUGGCUCUGGAGAGUUUUGUGAAACUGGAGAGCAUUAUGUGUUUUUGACUGGACCUCAUACUCUAACAUCUUGCUUCCCUGAGCUGCCAUAUCAGCAUGUUAUUUUCUAUACCUUUUCCUUGCACUUCAGACAUUUAUUUUGUGUUCCAAUCUCCUCCUCCAUGUCUACAACACAUCCUUAACCCUCAUUUCCACACUCCCACAUAAUCUACUGGAAGGGUGAUUUUUUUGGCAUUUGUGAGCGGUGUUAACAAGGAUCAGAUGGUGCCAUUGUUUAUGAAAGAACCAGGUUUCCUUUACCAGCUGUGGCAUGCACCAGUAAAAAAAAAAACAUCCAGCAGUGUGGACUUUACAGUGGAGUUCUUGUAUUUAGCAGGUGAAAAGUCAAUACUCUACCUGUAAUGAGAUUCGGUCAUGGAAAACCCCUUGAAGUUGUUUUUAGCAACGAGGCAUUAGUCACCCUUGGACAGCUGCUGGCCACUCGGCGCUUCUGGCUCGCACCGCGCCACGUGCAAGGGCUGUUUUGAAGGCUGCUCAGUGUUAAUGGUGACUCUUGCUACGCCUCAGGUGUUGAGUUUAAGCACAUGGUUUCUGGUUAUUUUAGGAAAACAUGAGCUCAUGUUCCAAGCAGCCUUCCCUCCAGUGAGAAGUUCAUUGCAGCCCAUCCCUGUGCAUGGGGCUGGGGAUGGUUAUACCCCGUGUCUUUGGGGGACUAGUGUGCCUUGGGUUUUCUUCCAAGUCUGGGGAUAUGGGAUGGUGUGAUGAUGAAGUGGUGAGAUGAUGCAGUGCUGUGAUGGGGCUGUGCUGGGGAGUGCCUCCAAAAGCAUCACCAGAAGCCUGAUGGCCACCCAAAGCAUUUUGCUACGCCCAAUGCCCUUGUGGGUGGUAGCCUGCCCAUGCUGAGGAACUGAGGGUGUGUUUGGAGGAUAUGAAGAGGUUGGUCAGGGAACUCAUGGAAAUGCAAGUGCAAGGGCUGAGAAAAAGGUGCUUUCUGUGUCAUAGACAUAGGUUAGGCAAAGAGGAGACAGCAGAGAGGUGAGAUCAUGGAGCAAGGAGGAGUGGAAUCUAUUAGAGCAUCAAAUGGCUGGAUUAAGUCAUACCACGUGAAGGCUAAGGCAGCUCCUAAAGAAAGGGAAAAUACAGGUGAUGAAGGAAGAAGUCAGUUUAACAGACCUGAAAUCUGGCCUGCCUGCAGAAAUGCGGGCUUGGAGCAAUGACCUUCUUUGGGAAGAAAAGGAUAAGCUGCUGACCAGUGGAUGCUUACCCAUUUCCUCCACCCCAUGGCUUCCCCCAGUCUCCAGCAUUGGCUGAGUAGGAAGGGACCUUUGCUCAAGGAGAGUGCUGGAUUUUCUGGCUGGUGGACAAGGGCAAGGAAGACCUGGUGAGGACAGUUCUUGCACUAGAUAUGGAGAGUGGGGAUCCAUGUUGAUGAGUGUCAGGAACUAGUGAGGGGGAACCACAAAAAAUGGUCAGCAAGGGUCCUGUCUCUGGGACCAGCCAACCCUUUACUUCCUCUGCAGCUCAGGCAGAGUUUGCAGAGAAGAGAGUCUGAUAAUACAUUGUCCCCACUUUAUAAGCAAAUAUCUUGAAAUAAUACAUACAGCUUUUGCUGAUAUCUUCAUCAUAGAGCAAUCUAAGGGUGUGCGUAGCUUGGAUCUGACAAGCAGAUCUCAGAAAACUUCUUCUGAUAGAGAGUGCAUUUAAAUGGAGAUGACAGGGAGAAUUUCAAUUUCAAUUUCUUCGAUAGAUAUGACCAAAAAAACAGAGCAAAUGUGAAAGUGUUAGAAAAGAAACAGAAUUUCAUUUAGACAUCUUGUGUUGAAACAUUGUGAUGUCUUUCUUUGAGAACUUUCAGAGCCACUGUACCCCUCAUUCAAGACACUUAGAAAAACCAAGACAUGAGAACAGCAGAAACCAGGCAGAACAGUCUUGUUGAGGCUUCUUGAGAGAGGAAAAGUGGUUGUUUCAGCUGUUGAAUUAUUCCUUCAGUUCUACUGCUCAAGUUCUCCUGAGUUGCUCCAGUGGCACCAUGGAGUCUUAAAUCUAGCCAAAGGAUUCUCGUGGUGCAGGGAAACCCCUGUGUAGCCUCAAGCCAGGGAAGUUGUUUAAGUGAGGCUACAGUUGUGUUUAGACCAGGAAUGGUUCUCUGUAUAGGGCUGGAAGCAUGUGGAAAGGCACAAUGCAGCUGAGAAGUUCCCUCCUCUGUUUCCAUUUUGUGGCUUCUGCAAUAAUCUGUCAAAGGAACCUUAUAAACCCCUAAGUGGUGGGGUUUUUAAAGCAUGGCUGUUAUGGUAAUGGUUUAAUGCUGCCUCCUUUGUUAUGUGUUAAUGGUGCCUUCCUCUUAAGUCUACUAAUAAAAGAAACUUAAACAUCAA